rnacentral:rRNA from 1 species
UACGUAGGGUGCGAGCGUUAAUCGGAAUUACUGGGCGUAAAGCGUGCGCAGGCGGUAAUGUAAGACAGAUGUGAAAUCCCCGGGCUUAACCUGGGACCUGCAUUUGUGACUGCAUUGCUGGAGUGCGGCAGAGGGGGAUGGAAUUCCGCGUGUAGCAGUGAAAUGCGUAGAUAUGCGGAGGAACACCGAUGGCGAAGGCAGCUCGCUGGGACGGUACUGACGCUGAGACGCGAAAGCGUGGGGAGCAAACAGG